GUGCCAGCAGCCGCGGUAAUACGUAGGCAGCAAACGUUGUUCGGAAUUACUGGGCGUAAAGAGUGUGUAGGCGGUUCGGUAAGUUUGGUGUGAAAUCUCCCGGCUUAACUGGGAGGGUGCGCCGAAAACUGCCGGGCUUGAGUGCUGGAGAGGAUAGCGGAAUUCCUGGUGUAGCGGUGAAAUGCGUAGAUAUCAGGAGGAACACCUGCGGUGUAGACGGCUGUCUGGACAGUAACUGACGCUGAGACACGAAAGCGUGGGGAGCAAACAGGAUUAGAAACCCUCGUAGUCC
rnacentral:rRNA from 1 species